rnacentral:rRNA from 1 species
AUUGAACGCUGGCGGCAGGCCUAACACAUGCAAGUCGAACGAGUGGCGGACGGGUGAGUAAUGUAUGGGGAUCUGCCCGAUGGAGGGGGAUAACUACUGGAAACGGUAGCUAAUACCGCAUACUAUCGGAUGAACCCAUAUGGGAUUAGCUAGUGGGGGGGGAAAAGGCUCACCUAGGCGACGAUCUCUAGCUGGUCUGAGAGGAUGACCAGCCACACUGGGACUGAGACACGGCCCAGACUCCUACGGGAGGCAGCAGUGGGGAAUAUUGCACAAUGGGCGCAAUCCUGAGGCAGCCAUGCCGCGUGUAUGAAGAAGGCCUUAGGGUUGUAAAGUACUUUCAGCGGGGAGGCGUUACCCGCAGAAGAAGCACCGGCUAACUCCGUGCCAGCAGCCGCGGUAAUAC